rnacentral:lncRNA from 1 species
GUGCUAUAAGGUGAUUAAAGAUCUAGAACUGACAAUGUGAUAAAGCGGCCCAGAAGCCUCCCACUCUGUAACAUUACAUUACAAUUACAUUACAAUGGCAAUGACAAACCUGGACCCGGAACCUGAUUAACAUGGUGGAUGAAGCCCUGGUGGAAGUUCAGAGAGGAAACGACUUGAGAUUGUAACACAUGAAUAAGGAACGAUGCCCGCCAUCCACUGCCGUCUAAAAGAUAAUAGCCUAUACCCGACUGUCUAUAGACAGUGUCUAUAUCCGACUUGUCUAUAGAUAACCGUCUAUAUCCGCGUCGUCUAUAGACGUAAUCUAUAGACGACCUGUCUAUAGACGACUGGGUAUAGACGGUCGUCUAUGGGUCGUCUAUUAGACGGUCGUCUAUAUCGUCUAAAAAACUCAGCUAUAGACGAGCCGUCUAAAACUCAAAAUAGUUCGUCUAUAGUCACGUGGAAAAAUUACAGACGCAACAUACUUGCUCAACGGCUUCUUCCUGUUUGAACCUGGGUAGUUGCCUUAAUCAACCUGUUACAUCAUGAUUUCCCCCAGAGGACAACUCACCAGUGGUCACUAUUCAUGUGUCAUGCUUCGUGAUAUGAGCCAGUAGCCAACAUAUCUCAGGCAGAGCGGCAUCAUGCUUAUGUCACCUUUCUUCAUCGUAGGCAGAGCUUUGGUGGAUGAUGCCGUCUGCAGCUCCCGUUUCUCGCUUCUGUACACAUGCCUGCUGAAGCAAGUUUACCAUAUGGGGUUGCAACCCCCUCAUUUGAGUCCCGCAGAUCAUGCAAGCAAGCAGUUGCAAUGUCUAGCAUGCAAGCCCAAUUUUACUACUUCUCAUGAGACAACAUCAUACCUUGGGUUGUUGCUUGGGUUUGGUGCUGCAGCUGCCCAGGUGUGCAGCCAUGGCAUGAGGAGCGUGGUCGCGAUGGUGAAGUCCUAUGUUGCCAAGUUGCCAUAGAACUCGGCAAAGUCGUCAUAUUUCAUUCCACUGACGGCCAGGAAUUCCUCAAACGCUUUGGUGGCCUUAUCACCAGCAACA